rnacentral:lncRNA from 1 species
CGUCCAUGAGCACCAUAGUCUUGCUGAGUCUACCUUCAGGAUCGCCGCAGAAGCGCACCCGAGACAUCCUUCAGUUAUGAUUAAUGUCUUGUGAUGAACCGGCCUGCUUUGUAAGUUAAAUUAAAUAGUGUCCCUCCCAGGACGGACAAGGACCCAGGGUCCAAGUCCACUUAGUUAUUUUAAGUAUCUGAGAGUCUGGGUUUGGAGAUAGAAAGGUUUCGUCCCGUAGAAGGUUUUCCCUACUGUUUUCAAAUCUUAUAUCUAUAUAUAUAUUUCAGAGUUUGUAAUUAUUUGGUCAUAUCUGAAUCUUGGCUACCUGGAUACAGUUCCUGCAUGAUCUGAAUAAUUAUUUGUAAUGUGUUCCAUCAAACACACUUAGAACCUGUUUGGGAGACUCAGUAUUUGUUGGUACAAUUUUGGUAUGAAUACUAAAACUUCACCAAUGAAUACCAAUCUUCCAAACAGCCCCUAAAGGUGUAUAACAGAUUCAGUUUCAGUUGCUGAUAUGAGCACACGCAAUUGUUUGCUAACAUAAACACCUCAGCAUACACUAGUUUACAUUUCAAAGGACUUUACGAGCUUUUAACCAAGUGAUUACGUGAACAAGAUCAUGUGGAAACUGUAUUCAGGUAGCCAAAAGAUUCAGGUACGACCAACUCUGGCAUUUUCAAUUACAGGGUGUGCUGAGCAACUAAAAAAUAAACAAAAUUCAUGCUUGGCAAAUACAAGGAAGUAAAAGAAGUAAAAAUUCAAGGCACGAUUUAAGUUACAAAGGAGGCCAACUAAAAUAAUUAUUGGAUCUAACAGAAGGAUGUCUUGGGUGCACCUGUACGGUAUUCUUGAGGGGGGGGCGUCAAAAUCAAUGAAGAGGCGAACAAUGGACUCCAAGCAUCAAGCGGUGGAGAGGGAGGCGUCGAAAUCAAUCAGGAGGUUGAUACGGUGGCGGCAAAUCCAUGGGAAAGACGGAGAUCAAAAGAGGCGGCGGCGGCGGAAAAUCCAGUGGGACUGGGAGAGGCGGAAACGAGGGCAUGCCGUGAAGCCGGCAGAUCUGCUUGCGGAGAUUGAGGCUGGCAGAGGUAGCGGUGUAUGCGGGGUUUUGCGGCGGGAGGCGGAGGCGACGCCGGUGGCCAUGGCAGAGGGCGAGGUAAGGAAAGAGAAGCAGAUCGAACCAGCCUCCCCCAUUCCUACCACGGCCCGACCUGCUCGGCUGCCAAGGCCCAAUUAAAGCCCAGAAUGGGUCCAGGUGAAGCUAAAUUGAACAAAGUUCUUCCUCUUCUGGAUCUAAACUUUUUCCCUCAAAAAAGAUAAACUGUGUAUCGAAGCCCUCGAUUCAUUAUUGUAUCCAAAAUUCCGAGAGCAUGGUGAAGCCAAAGCUGAACAAAUUUGUCGUGCUACCGACUGAUGUAAUAGAGCCGGUGCUGCAGU